UAUCCAUGGUGGGGACAAUCUCUCUGAUACCCCUUAAAACGUACCCAAGCAGCCUUGAAUGUCUCAGAGAUUCCUUGAGAGAAAGUAGAAAUCUUGUUCCUCAGAUC
rfam:Capsella rubella cultivar Monte Gargano unplaced genomic scaffold scaffold_13, whole genome shotgun sequence.